CCACCAGACACAGUGUACACUGAGGGGUCACAGCACGCAGAUGCACCAGGAACCCCAGCACCCGGCUGGGUUUGGGCUGAGCUUAGGCUGGGCUGGGCUCAGGCUGGGCUGGGCUCAGGCUGGGCUGGGCAGGUGAAGGCUGCCUCCUCCAUGGGCUGUGAUCAAACAGUGCCAGCAGGAAGGGCACAGUCCUUCACUGACCAGGGUUUCGUGACAUCCAAUUUCGCUGCUUUCAGCCCAGGCUGACCUCACAGCAGCAGGUUGUGGACUGUUCCACUUGCCCUUGAAGCUCUGUUUCCAGACAUUCACCUGCAGGCCACACACCUGAGGCCACCAUGAGUUACUGCAAUUUGUGACUGACCUGUUUAAAACCACAAACGGUCCCUACUGUCACCACAGAGUCCACCAAGCUGAGUGGGACCAAACCUGACAUGAUGUGUCCUGCAAAGCAUUAGGGUUUCUGCAGAUAUUUUCACCUCACUGAGGUGGGGUUUGGCUCAGAGGUUCACAAAAGCCAUAGCUGAUGUUGUCCAGGAGCAGUGAAAGGGGCAAAGCUCCCUUGCCUUUUCCUACUCACACACCAAGGCAUCAGACUUUACCUUUAGUUCAGGCACAGCCAGGUCUGUGUGCACUGAGCCAGCUCCAUCCCUCCUGUCUCUUCCUCCUCCCAGCUCCCCAAAGCCAGGGAGGGGUGCAGGCUCACCACAGGAGCAGAUGACUUUUUCCACAGAAACAGAUGCCUGCUUCAGCCAACACAUUGUCUUUGUGUUGAGCACGAUCCCACGUAUUCUGAUUGUCACUGUUGUUAUUAUUUCCUUAACUGUUUUUCCUUCAGACUUCUGGCUCCAGGAACAAAUCACUUCAGCCCUGCCCACUCCCAGGGCUGUGAGGCUUCAAAAGAUGUCUGAAAGACCUGUCCUUCCUGAUGACACAUGCUCCUUCCUUUGUAUUCUCCGGGGACAAUGUCUGCAGCAUGUCACAGGUAGGGAGGAGCUGCCCAAGAGACCCAUGGCAGGAGGCACAGAGUUCUGGCAGCCCGCUCAGGGACAGCUUGGGAUGGGGCAGGAGGGGAAGAAGUGAUGUUCCUGGCUAGCACCAAAACAGAGGUGGCUUCACUUCUUUGCCAAAGGGGAAAGCUUCUCUUGAAUUCAAGCACAAGACAGGCUGAGCAGGUGCCUGUGCUUGAGAUUUUUAUGGAUCACUGCAGGCUAAGAGGUUCACAAAACAGCUUGCUGCUUCCUUCAGCAGUGGAAGUGAGGCAGUCACAGUUACCCAUCCAUGGAGACAUCAGCACGGAUCCCCAGCUCCUUCCCUGGGACAUGCACAGGAUACCCCAGGUCCAGCUGAUGCAGGUGGCCACGCUUCAGCCAUCGCCAGGGCUGGCAAAGAGAUGCACAGUCCUUUUCAGCAGCUCCAAACAGACACCAGCUCUGUACAGUGAAGAUCCCAGGGACUUUCUGGCUCUCCAGAGACAUCACUGGUUGACCAUUGGGCUGAAUAUUUAUGUUCUCCAGGAAGGACAGCAGUAACCACAGGGCUGUGGUAUUGUGCUUCCUCCUAGUUCUUUGCUGAGUCUUAUGACUAUAAAAUAAACCUGAAGGUCCUUCUUGCAUACUGUGAAUCCCUUCUCCAGGAGAGAAAAUUUCAGGAAGGUUCUCACAGCACUGUGAAAAUGUAUCAUCUCACUUUGCUGAGAAGAAAAUUUGGGACCUUCUCAAACUACUCCACUUACAUCUACCAACAGAGUGCUUUUGUUGUCCUACACGGCGGCCAGACAAAGAUCUAACUUGAGCCCUGGGAAAGUCUGACUCCUACUCUUCCUGCCUUGUGACAGACACUUGUACAAGCUGCACCACUCCCUCUGUGUGAGAGAGGACCUUCCCUUCCUCUUUCACACAGGCACCAGUCUUGGCCAUGUGGAAGGGCAGCAGAAAAGCAUCCAGCCAGCCAAAGAAGAAGUUGGUUUAGCAAACAGACAAGAAACCAGGGCUCAGAAGUGUCCUGGCCCCAACCCAAUGUAUAUUCAGACCAGAACAGAGAAAUGAAACCUGAAACAGGAAGAGGCUUUUUGCUAUCAUCAAAUUUCGUCCUUCACCCUCCAGCCCACCCCUGUCUGGGGCAGCUACUACCCCUGCCAGCCAGAGCUCUGGGACACAAGGUCACACAGCAGCAGACCAGGGCUCUCUUCUGUGGAAAACCACACCAAGAGAGGGAUGUGCCAGUGGGGCUCUUGUUUCUUGUGGUGCUCCCAGGGCUGCCAGGCUGGACCCUCGCUGCAGGGGGUGACCACUGUGACCACACACUGGUAGUGGGUCCCUGUCACAGGCACUGGGAGGAGGAACAAGUGACUGUCCCAAAAACUGACCCAGUCCUCCAGCAAUGCCUGGGAGAAGCGUGCCAAGGGAAGGAGCUGCUGCUACUCCCUUUUCAAAUCCAUAGAUCUAUUCCACCUGCUUGAAAAUAGAAGCCAAGAUGAGAUCACCCCAGCCUUUCCUCCUCUAGAUUUGCCUCCAUUUCUGCUCAGGACAUGGCCUAUUUAGGGACCCCUAUCACCCACAAAGACAGAUUUUAGUACCUUUCCCUAAAUCUCAGCACACUCUAGGAUUUUCCACACGGCAGCUGGUGAGUGGGAUUGCUGGCAGCCCUUUUUGUCUCCGGUGGCAUCAAGGCUGAGCAGGGCUGUGUUCUAGCUCCUACUGGGUUUAACACCUCAUUUCCUUUGCUGUCUGCCCCAGAAUCAUGAGGAAAGGAGGCUCUGUGCCCCUCAGGCUCAACAGCAAGUUGUACAGCACCGCACAAGCACCAGCAGCUGUGGGCUGAAGAACUGGUCUGGGAGCCCAGGUUUGCUGGUGGCUGCAGACUCUUUGCACGUACACUGAUUUCUAAACGAGCACAAGCAGCUCAUUGGGUCCUCCCAAGCUGCACAAAUUUGGUCUAUGAGCUAAAUAAGCUGCUCAUAGAGUCACAGAAUGGUUUGGGUUGGACCUUAAAGACCACCUGGUUCCACCUCCCCUGCCAUGGGCAGAGACAUCCCCCAUUAGACCAGGCUGCUCAAAGCCUUGUCCAAGCUGGCCUUGAACUGUUGCAGAGACAGGGCAUUCACAACUGGAGAUGGCAACCUUUUCCAUGGACAACCUUUUUUUAUGCCUCUUGCACCAGAAGCCAGGCUGGAGGGUGCUCUGCAGCCAGAUUCAUUACAGCCUUGACUUCAAUUGAGCUAAGCCAUCCUGGAGGUCUGGAUUCACUUCAGCAAGUGAACACUGAGGAGAUCCUGUUGCUCUUGCCAUGCUCUACACCACAGACCAGCACGGAAUGCUUCAGGGACCCCAGAGCACUUGUACUCUUUCUGCAGCCAGAAAAGCACUCACAGAUCUGGUCUGUAGAGACUCAUGGAGCUUUGACAUCACAGGAGACCUUAAAAAGGGACUGUCCCUUGAAGCAAGACUUAGCUCAGAAGGGUUCAGCCAAGGCUUGUCUCUGGAGAUAAGGAGUAAGCAACAAGUUUUGAAAGCCAAGGAUAAAGAGGUUCAUCAAGGGGUCAGUUAGAUAAAACUACUAAAAUAUAUUUGACCUAACAAAGUUACUCUGGUGGCUGCUCCCAGAUCAGUGAUGAGGAACAGGACUUCCCAACAGCGGAACUCUGCUUUUGCUGCUCCCACUGCAGCCACACACAGUGGGGUGAACUCUGUGCACGCCUCUCACCACAACCAACACUCCAGGAAUUGCCUUGGGAGGCUCAGAAAAGGGCUCAGCUGCAGCCCGUGGCUCUGGGACUGCAGGAAGGAGGGGAUGAGACACAGGACUCCUUCACAGAACAAGCACCAAGGAGCCUGAAGUAAACAGCUUCUCCAUUCCCACUUGCCAAAUCCAAACACCCCGGUGAUAAAUAUUAGUACCAGUCACUAUUAAUCCCACAACAGCAAAACUUGGAUUACAAUACAAGCGAAAGCUGGAGCAAAAUAUGCAAUUUGAAAAAAGCUUCUGAGCAAAUAUGGAAGUUUCACUUCUUGCCUACUUGAAGCACAUGUGACAUGAUUUGUUUGAAGAACAAAAUAGACUGCAGGCAUGGAAAAUGCCAGGCAUAAAGCUUUAGAGUUACUAAUACUGUGGAAUAUAAAUGGCAAGCGAUCCCAGAUUAUUUUAGAAAAGGCUGGCUGCAAUUUACAGCCUUGAUUAGGCUGAUUACUAAAGGAUGAACAGCAAAAUAACUUCAGUAAUUAAAUUUCCGAAGAGGAAACCAAAGGUUCUCACUCGUAAAAUGAGCUGUAAAUGAAUUUAAAUAUUCAGUAUGACUUUUGCCCUUCUCAGCAGAAGAGCAUGCUGCCUGACAUGGUCAUUUCCUAGGAAAGGAGACUGAGCAAGGCUUAACAAAGAAAUGAAAAAGGGCUUUGUAGCCCUAUAGGUUUUCCAUGGGAAAGGUAAAGCCCAUUGGAACUACACUUCAGCUCAGAAAGCAAUAUAACUUAAUGGAAAAAUAAACGUAGCACUAGGGUGUAUUUCAAGUCGAAAAAUAGAGUUUCCAUCAAUAUCUUGUGGUCAGUUUUCCUCUGCAAUUAAGUGAAAGUUGUCCGAGCAGAUGGUAACACCGAUAACCGAUGCGAAAUCGCAGGGAGGGAGAGAUCCAUGGAGUUCUUUUCUAAAAAAAUUUCCGGAGAACCCCAACCAGAGCUGUUUCUGCGUUUGGGAGACAUCCUGUGGCCGCCGCAGACACUGCACCGUCCCUCUGCAGCUUGUCUUGCCGUGCAGAAGGGACCGACCAUCCAUCCAUCCAUCCAUCCAUCCAUCCAUCCAUCCAUCCAUCCAUCCAUCCAUCCAUCCAUCCAUCGAUGCAUCCAUCCCUGACAUUUCAGCAGGCACCCCCCCACCAGCCCCUGCUCCUUUGGGCACCACAGACACAGGACCAUUGUGACAAUGCCUCCAAGCUCCUACCAGUGUGUUUUUCCCAUCCAUGUGGAAACACGUGUGGAAACACUUCAUUUCAUGCCUUUUGACUGUGUGAGCCAGCAGAGGAAAUUAUUCCAUGCUCAGAGAUUUUGCUGUUUGCGGUGCUCGCGCUGAGGUCUUGGUAAGAGGCACCUCCAAGCAAACAGGAUUUUACCUUGAGACAGGCAAAUGAUUGAAAACCAUGUGAUUGAAAUGCCAGUAGAAUUUCACUUUCUGAUUUUGCAUCCCCAUAUGUUUUAACAGAAUUAUUUUCGUGGUGAGCUAUUUUGUUAUCUGAUUUUAUUCACCUAAUACAUUCAAUGUGAUCAGCAACUACAAGGAAACAUGAACUAUACAAAUAUUUUAGUUUUAUGCCCUGAUUUUUUUAAAAGGAUGUUAAAUGAUAACAUAAGGGUAUAAAUGGAAUGAAAACUGCAACAUAGCUAUGCCUUGAAACUCCAUGCUGUGGUUCCCACAGCAACCAUAACCAUGGCCACGUCUUAUGGAUUUUACAUCCGAGUCUGACGCUGUUCCAAGUGCUCAACACACGUAAGCAAAAACCAAGCAAAAGUUUUUUCUCCCCCUGCCAUAAACACCUUACCUGCUAAGUCACCACCACUACAAGGUGUUCAUGCCACUCCUAGGUGAAAGUGAGCUCCCAACAGCUGACAAUCAAUGCCCUGAAUGUGGCUUCCAUGCAGAGAUACUGGCAGGGUUCAUAGUGUUGGUAUUGACACCCUUCUGUUUUCUGUUAGUGCUGGAACAACAGCCUGCUGUUUGUACCAAAGGUUAAAGCAUUCUUAGAAGGCUAAAAGAGAACAGUUAAGGGUCUUUCAAAUUCCUUUGUUUUGAAUACCAAACUGUUUCAACUUCAGAAGCACUGAGUGGUCAAGAGACUGCUCCUCCAUGGUUUUGCUCAUUUUAUCCAGCCCCUUUGCUUGUAGGCAGUAUCUGGUAGUGCACUUCAAAGAGACUGGCAGAAACAGGAACGUGAAACCAUCAAGUUAUCCAAGUUUACUGGUUUGCCUUUUUCUUAAAGGCAAAAAUUUUUAGAAUUUUAAAAAGUAAACCUUUUCUUGCUCUUCAGUUUGCCAGAAGUAAGGAGCACACACAGAGACAGCAUUUCCAAUAUCAGCAUUGUUCUUGGUUUUCUUUAAGCAUUUACUGCUGUUGCAAUUCAGGACUCUGAUUGGUCUUGGGUAUGAAAAAGUUGAACUUCUAACAAAUUAUUAAUUUCUCUAGGUUGAGCUUUAUUUAAAGCUCAUGUCCCUUCCUGCUGGAUAACAGUUUAUUCUCUGAAGUGACAGAAUAAUUGUCAGUGGUGAAAUCAGUGGAAUAAUUCACUGCUACUGGAGGGGAAAAACUCCAGUCAAAGGUGAAAUUUUCAAAACUCCACUUCAUCAGAAUGUCAAAUCAGGGGUUUAACUGGCAGCACCAGUGACUGUAAUAACAUGAACCUGUUUUUACUAGAAAGCUCCAGGACUUUUCUAUGAAAACUUAGAGGAAUGAGAUAGUAUGGACAGUUACAAGCCUACAUAUUUAAAAUUAAAUGUUAAUCCACAGUGGUACCAGCUUUCCAAAAUGGUAUUUAUUCCUAAACAUCUGCAGUGUAAAUCAGAAACCAAAAUGUUACAUUAGUAUGACCCCCCACCCCCAACCCAGAUGGCAGAAAUACCAUCAACUAUUGAAAUUCUCUAAAUAUUUAACACUUUAGGUUACUAAGAAAAGAUGUGGUCUUGGAUAGCACAGCAAGAAACACCCAACCAGCCCCUCCCUGAAAUACAGACACUGGCUCAAGGGGCUCUGCCCUCACCCAGGGGUACCUGAGCCCUCUGGGGACAGUGACCACUGUGAGUGAGCAGGUUCCAGCCCAGGGGGCCGGGCACAUGCUGCUGCUCCAGGGCUGCACAGGGAGAAAGCUCUCUGGGCUGGCUGCAGGCCUAAUUAAAUUGCAAACCACAACACGGGCUGUGACACAGCAGCUGUGGGAAAUACUGAUUAAAAGCAUCUACACAUUAUCCCAAUGGGCCCAUGUAUAGCUGAGCUUUUAACUGAAUUGGAUACAGCUCUUAUUUAAAUUCCAGAUAUGCCACAGUCUUUCCAUAUGACUGGGAGGACUACUGAACCCUGCACUUCACUUCUGCAAAAUAAACGUGUGGAUAUUAAUUCCAUAUUUUCAUAAAUAAUCUCAUUUAUCUUGUCUCAAAUUUCUGUAAUUAAAAAAAAAAUAGGAUACAGUAUCUUGCUAUAUUUGAUUUUGAAGCCUCAGUGUAAUGUAAGAGAAAAAGCUAAACCUUGCCCAAAUCUGUACUAUGCAUCUUUAAAUCCCCAAAGACUGGACCAGAUGCUGUAGCUUGAACAGAAGUAGUGUGCAAAACACUUAGCCCAGCAGGACUAGCUGUUCCUCCAGCCUACCUCUCUCUACUUCUCAAUAUGGUCAAGGGCCUCAGGUCCUGUAAAGAGGUCAAAUAAAGUGAAGUGUUUCAGAAAUCCUAAGUACAGGGAAGGUUUGC